rnacentral:rRNA from 1 species
GAUGAACGCUGGCGGCGUGCCUAAUACAUGCAAGUCGAGCGAACGGACGAUAAGCUUGCUUCUCUGAUGUUAGCGGCGGACGGGUGAGUAACACGUGGAUAACCUACCUAUAAGACUGGGAUAACUUCGGGAAACCGGAGCUAAUACCGGAUGAUAUUUUGAACCGCAUGGUUCAAAAGUGAAAGACGGUCUUGCUGUCACUUAUAGAUGGAUCCGCGCUGCAUUAGCUAGUUGGUAAGGUAACGGCUUACCAAGGCAACGAUGCAUAGCCGACCUGAGAGGGUGAUCGGCCACACUGGAACUGAGACACGGUCCAGACUCCUACGGGAGGCAGCAGUGGGGAAUAUUGCGCAAUGGGCGAAAGCCUGACGGAGCAACGCCGCGUGAGUGAUGAAGGUCUUCGGAUCGUAAAACUCUGUUAUUAGGGAAGAACAUAUGUGUAAGUAACUGUGCACAUCUUGACGGUACCUAAUCAGAAAGCAACGGCUAACUACGUG